rnacentral:rRNA from 1 species
AUUGAACGCUGGCGGCAGGCCUAACACAUGCAAGUCGCGCGGAGCGGCGGACGGGUGAGUCAUGCCUAGGAAUCUGCCUGGCAGUGGGGGAUAACGUCCGGAAACGGGCGCUAAUACCGCAUACUAUCAGAUGAGCCUCGGUCGGCUUAGCUAGUUGGUGGGGUAAAGGCCUACCAAGGCGAAGAUCCGGAACUGGGCUGAGAGGAUGAUCAGUCACACUGGAACUGAGGGAUGGUGCAGAUGCAUCCGGGAGGCAGCAAUGGUAAAGCUUGGACAAUGGGUUAAAGCCUGAUCCAGCCAUGCAGCGUGUGUGAAGAAGGGGUUCGGAUUGUAAAGCACUUUAAGUUGGGAGACGUUACCAACAGAAUAAGCACCGGCUAACGUCGUGCCAGCAGCCGCGGUAAUUC